rnacentral:lncRNA from 1 species
GGCGGCUGCCCCGCGAUCGCUAAGGAAUGCGGCGGCUCCGCAUAACCACGGGGUCAGAGGUCACGGCUCCGGCCUCCGCUUUCCCGCUCUGCUGAACAAAAACAAACCGAAAGGGCGCCUGGGAGUCGUAGUCCCAACGGCCUCUCUGGCCUCCCCCGCUCCGGAAGAAUAUGGCCGCGUGAAGCGCGUGGACCACACUUCCCGGCGUGCC